GACUAAAUAGCAAACCUAAGCGAGUAAAUGGUACACUAGGUGCCUUACAGAUAAAUGAAAGGUUAUGCAUUUGUCAAGCUCAAGUAAGCAUGGCAUAGACAAUCUAAAUGGAGGAAACUAGGUCAGAGUUUAACAAUUGUGAGACGUCUAGUGUCCGCACUUAUCGCUGGCAGCCUCCCACGCGCAACCUAAUGCCACAGCGUCCUCUCUUCAAC